AUGCACACUUUGGCAGCACAUAUACUAAAAUUGGAAUGCUACGGAGAAGAUUAGCAUGGCCCCUGCUAAAGGAUGACAAACAAAUUCACGAAGCAUUCCAUAUUUUU
rnacentral:snRNA from 1 species